rnacentral:rRNA from 1 species
AGUGAACGCUGGCGGCAGGCCUAACACAUGCAAGUCGAGCGGCGGCGCGGGGGCAACCCUGGCGGCGAGCGGCGGACGGGUGAGGAAUUCGUCGGAAUCUGCCUUUUUGUGGGGGAUAACGUAGGGAAACUUACGCUAAUACCGCAUACGUCCUACGGGAGAAAGUGGGGGACCGCAAGGCCUCACGCAGAAAGAUGAGCCGACGACCGAUUAGCUAGUUGGUGGGGUAAAGGCCCACCAAGGCGACGAUCGGUAGCUGGUCUGAGAGGAUGAUCAGCCACACUGGGACUGAGACACGGCCCAGACUCCUACGGGAGGCAGCAGUGGGGAAUAUUGGACAAUGGGCGCAAGCCUGAUCCAGCCAUGCCGCGUGUGUGAAGAAGGCCUUCGGGUUGUAAAGCACUUUUGUCCGGAAAGAAAUCCCUGGAGCUAAUACCUUCGGGGGAUGACGGUACCGGAAGAAUAAGCACCGGCUAACUUCGUG